GAUGAACGCUCGCGGGAGGCCUAACACAUGCAAGCUGAGCGGUAGAGUUUCUUCGGAAACUUGAGAGCGGCGCACGGGUGCGUAACACGUGUGCAACCUACCUUUAUCUGGGGGAUAGCCUUUCGAAAGGAAGAUUAAUACCCCAUAAUAUAAUGAUUGGCAUCAAUUAUUAUUGAAAACUCCGGUGGAUAGAGAUGGGCACGCGCAAGAUUAGAUAGUUGGUGAGGUAACGGCUCACCAAGUCAAUGAUCUUUAGGGGUCCUGAGAGGGAGAUCCCCCACACUGGUACUGAGACACGGACCAGACUCCUACGGGAGGCAGCAGUGAGGAAUAUUGGACAAUGGGUGAGAGCCUGAUCCAGCCAUCCCGCGUGAAGGAUGACGGUCCUAUGGAUUGUAAACUUCUUUUGUACAGGGAUAAACCUACCCUCGUGAGGGUAGCUGAAGGUACUGUACGAAUAAGCACCGGCUAACUCCGUG
rnacentral:rRNA from 1 species